rnacentral:rRNA from 1 species
GGUUUGAUUAUGGCUCAGGACGAACGCUGGCGGGCGUGCCUAAAUACAUGCAAGUCGAACGCGUCCUCGCCGAUGAAGUUGAAGUGCCUGCACGGAUUCUGAUUCAACAUUUGGACGAGUGGCGAACUGGUGAGUAACACGUGGGUAACCUGCCCUCAAGCAGGGGAUAACACUUGGAAACAGGUGCUAAUACCGUAUAACAAUGAAAACCGCAUGGUUUUCAUUUGAAAGAUGGUUUCGGCUAUCACUUGAGGAUGGACCCGCGGCGUAUUAGCUAGUUGGUGAGGUAACGGCUCACCAAGGCAAUGAUACGUAGCCGACCUGAGAGGGUAAUCGGCCACAUUGGGACUGAGACACGGCCCAAACUCCUACGGGAGGCAGCAGUAGGGAAUCUUCCACAAUGAACGAAAGUCUGAUGGAGCAACGCCGCGUGAGUGAAGAAGGGUUUCGGCUCGUAAAACUCUGUUGUUAAAGAAGAACAGGUGUAAGAGUAACUGUUUACACCGUGACGGUAUUUAACCAGAAAGCCACGGCUAACUACGUGCCAGCAGCCGCGGUAAUACGUAGGUGGCAAGCGUUGUCCGGAUUUAUUGGGCGUAAAGCGAGCGCAGGCGGUCUUUUAAGUCUGAUGUGAAAGCCUUCGGCUUAACCGGAGAAGUGCAUCGGAAACUGGGAGACUUGAGUGCAGAAGAGGACAGUGGAACUCCAUGUGUAGCGGUGAAAUGCGUAGAUAUAUGGAAGAACACCUAGUGGC